AUGAGAAUUAUGGUUAUGCUGCUCCUCCUGCUGGACAGGAUCCCAAUGUGUAUGGAAGUUAUCCGGGGUAUCCUGGUUACCAACACCCACAGCAGCAACAACAGCAAAUGGGAUAUAGCUAAGAAAUUGCUGCUACAUGUUUGUGACCUUUUGUGACUGUACUGUUUGUGACCUUUUGUGACAGUACUGUUUUGAUGGAGUUGCUUUUCCCUUUUUGGAAUAAGGAUUCUUAUCCUUUUUCCCCCUCUUCCCAUUUGAUUGCUAGUAACAUUGGAGUUUUACCAAAGGCUCUUGUAUUCCUUUAAAUUUGCUUGCUGAUUACUUUUUGUUGUUUAGAUUUUUGAUGACAUUGGCUAUCUAUUGUGUUGAUGUUAGCUGAUCUCAGCUAGCCUGUGUUAAAUUAACAGUAGACCUAAUCAAAAUUUGAAGUGUUUUAGGAUGCGGAAUAAAUCACUGCUUUUCUUAAUUAACGAACCUAUUCUAUUUUUGACGUUUGUAUGAAAUUACUAGAUUCAAAUUGAAUUGAUCCUUUAUCUUAAUAAAAAAGCGCAUAGCUCCUUUUAAGUCAUAAAAUAAUAUGCACCAACAAUUUUCUUUCCAUCAAGCUCUUAAAAAUCGCUUAUGUGGAUGUUUUGUCAAGUUGGUUCUUCUUUUUAUCAAACCUGGUUGAAGAACGAUUAUGUUUAUGUACAUGUUUUGUCAAGUUGGUAACCGUUCACAAAACUAGCGUUUAUGUGUAUUAUUUUGUUGAUGAAUGAAUUGGAAAACAUUAAGAAAAAAUGUAUAGAAGUAAUCAUGAUUUAUUGAUGUUAUGAAUACUUUUAGUUAAACGGAUGAAAAAUUGAAUCAAAUUUUACAAAAAUUAUUAAAGGUUUACUUGUUCCCUAUGAAAGAUCGAUUUGAAAAGAUAAAAAAAACUAAAGAUUAAUCCUGUGCAAACAUAGACUUAAACGAAGAUAAAAUUGUUUGUUUACAUAUCUUAGAAUUAACUCUGCUGUGUUUAUUUUGAGUGAAAUUGAUUCAAUUGAGAUAGAUAGUGUGAUGUUUCUUACCAUAAUUCACUAUUUACAAUACUGUUGAGCACUUGUUAAUUAGGUCAAAUUGGUUUACAAAGUUGAGGUACAUCUCUACUUCUGUGGUGCUUGAUUCUCUUAUUGUUGUCUAAAAUGUUUCACGAAGCUAAUGAGAUAGGCUAAUGUUAUACCAAAUACCUUAGAUGCUUCUUGGGAUACAACAUUUUAAAAAAAAAGUCAUAUUAACCGGUACCUUAGAGAUAGUGAUUAAGGAAACUAAAAAAAUGAAAUUUUAAGUUGAAAAAAAAGUUAAAAAUAUCAUUUUUUUUUUGCUUUUGAAGAGUUGAGCGAACAACGUCCAAUAUAAAUACUACUAUAUUAGAUUCCUUAAUCAGUAACCUCACUUUAGAGAAACAUUUGUUAGCAUUUUCCUAAAAUUAUAGAUUAAAGAGAGAAACUUGUUUACCAAACAUAUCAUUUUAAUAUAAGCAAAAUUGACUUUUUAGAUUCAUUCAUUUAAUAAUGUAUGUAGUCCAUAUUAUGAACCACAUACAUCAUUAAAUGAAUGACCUAAAAAAUUAAUUUUACUUAUAUUUAAAGACGAAGGGAGUAACUUACUGAAAUUCAAAUCGGACUCCGACACACUCAAUUUUGGAUCAAUACUCUUCACCUUGUUCUUUGUAAGAAAAGAUAAAGACUUUGACUUUAGUUUGUUGGGUGGGUUGUACUCUUCACCAUAAUAUAUCAAAUUAUUCACUCUUUACUCUCUUUUACAUUGGAGAGCUGUUAUUAUCAGGUCCGGCUUUGAGGGUGUGCAAGGUGCUCAAUCUGACCGGGCCUCCAAAUGCUACAGCCUCUAACGAAAAAUUAAAUUUAAUACCCACCCCCUAUUUAAAUAAAAAAUAUAUAUGUUAUAUCCUUUUCUUUCUUUAGUACACAUUUGAGUUUUUUCUAGACUCUAGUUCUCCUUUUUGUACAUAAACCGGAUCCUAUCAAACCACCCCUAAUUUGUAUAAUCACUUAAUCAGCCAAUUUGGAAAGCUAUUUCAUUGAAAGAAUCACAACAAUCUUUUUUUUUCUUCGCAUAAACCAUUCGUUUUACCCUUUUCCACAAUAGAGGAGUGACAAAUCCAAACGACACCGUUAGAUAAAUUUCACAUCUUUCACUUAUUUUUUUUAAUUCCUUUCAUGUUUAGAAGUUCUUCUGAUUCUGAUUUUUUUUAAUGAAAUUUAACUACACAAAAAAAUUAUGUUUUAUUUUACUAGGUGCCUAUUUUAAAAAGAGAGCCGAACCUCCUAUUUCAUGACAACAAAAUCCUAAACUCUGCAUAAAAUAAGUAAAAUAAAGAGAGAGAAAAUUAUAAUAUAUAGUACAGUGUUGAAGUCAAAAGUUUGCGAAAUAAAUGACAAAAAUAGUAUAAAAAAUGGUGAAGUUUAGUAUGGGAAAGGCUAAUUUUUCCCAUCAUGGGAAAGUUAGUUUUUAACCAUUAGAUCAAACCAAGAACACAUCCUUACCAUACUCCCUCAUCACUAGAUUUUGUAAUUUUAUUAUUUUAAAACCAUUUUUUAAAAACAAAAAAUAUAUUUCGAAAUUAAAAUAAACAUUUAAAAAUAAAAAAUAAACUUAAUUUUGGAAAUUAAUUUUCCAAUUUUUUUUUUUUUGAGCAAGUUUUUUUUUUCAAAAAACUUAAUUAAAUCUUCGAAAAUCAUAAUUAAAUAUUUUGAAAACAAGUUUAUUUCAAAAAGUUUAUUUAUAUUUUUUAAAAUUUUGGAAAAUUAAUUUCCAUAUUUUUAAAUUUAUUUUUUAUUUUUAUAUGUUUAUUUUAAUUUCAAAAUAUAUUUUUUGUUUUUAAAAAAUGGUUUUAAAAUAAUAAAAUUAUAAAAUCUAGCGAUGAGGGAGUAUGGUAAGGAUGUGUUCUUGGUUUGAUCUAAUGGUUAAAAACUAACUUUCCCAUGGUGGAAAAAAUUAGCCUUUCCCAUGCUAAACUUCACCAUAAAAAAUAGAGAUAAGGAAGUUGUGUGUUCAAUUUAACCUCCGCCUAGAACAAAAAGCUUACUAUGACAGAGUAAUUUAUUAACAUUUGUGAUUAAAAAAAAUUGUGUCAAAUAAGUAUUUCUUUUGGGAAAUGUAAAAUAGUGUCAUUCGAGCAUUAGUUAAGAGAUCGAAAAUAAAAAUUUUGUAUUUACAAAAUGAUGAUUUUAACUUUUUAUAAGAGAAUGUUGCAACAACUAAUAUAAAAAAAAAAGUUAAAUUCAUCAUUUAAAAAGUUUGUCACUAGAAUCAUGUUUGUCACUACUAACAUGUUAAUCCUCUUAUAUUGUGAUUAACAUAGUUCUAGUGACAAAUUAUAUCAUUGCAAUGAUUUUAUAUCAUUUUCUGUUUUUUUUUUUCGCUUCAAGCAAUUUUGCUAAACUAGAUUAUGAAUUUCAAAUAUUCAAAGAAUCCAAGGCAUGCCGGUGGCAAUUAUGGUGUGUCCUUUGUCGAUUUGCAACCAGCACAAUGCACACAACUAGCAAAACGAUUAGAAACUUCAUGCUUCUUUUCAUAAGGAAAAAAAAUCAACUCUUCGAUGGCAGGUAGGAGGAAAAGGAAUGCUGCCGUUCACACUACAAUUAAUCCCCUUAUUUUUUUUUAAUUUUUUAUCUUAAUAUAUGAUUUUUCCUUCAAAUAUGUAUUAAUGGAUUUUUUUUAUAUAAAUUUAAUGCUACAUCUACUUUAAAGAGGAUAUUUGAUUGAUCAUUUUUCUUUGCCCUCUCUUUGUAAAAAAAAAAGUUACGUUAACUUGUCUUAUCACAUGUUAAGGUUUUCAAAAAAAAGAAAGUAUUUAUUGAGAAAAAAAAUUAAUUUUAAUCUUUAAAGAAAUAAAUUAGUGCAAUUUCCAAUGUGAUUUUUUUUUUGUUGUCAAAAUGCGAAAUUUCUUUUAUUGGUAUCUUAACAUGCGUCUCAGGGCAUAUGUUAGCAUUUCUCACUCAAAAUAAAUUUUGUUUAAUUCAAACUAAUCAAGUCUCAUUUCGCUAAUUUUAAUCUCUCAUCCUUGAACAUCUUCAUUAAUAUCUCAUAUAUAUAUAUAUAUGUAUAUAUAUGGUAAAAUAUUUUUUAAGAAUAAAAUGAAUAAUUCUUAUACUUCUAGGAUGUGUAUCAACAUAUAUCCAUUAAAUAUUGAUAUCUGAUACGUAUCUGAUACAUAUACGUCUUCGGUUUUAGAAUAUUUAAAAUUCAUAGCCAUUUUACUAUAAGGAAGUCUCCCUUCCUACUAAUUUUUUAUCCACCAAAUUCGAAUUUGAUACAUUAAUGCUUAAGAGGCCCGAAUCCAAUUACAUUAUGACCAAUGUAAUCUUGGUUACUUUACUUAAUUUGAUGAAAUUAUCGUUUAACUUUUAAAAUAAGCUUCAAUUGUUAUUUUCUCAAAAGUAAUGUUUUUCAAACGUAUGCAUCAAGUGUUUUAGAAGUAGGCAAAGUGCCAUCAUACUUUAUACAUAUUUGAAAAUUUUAUUCAUACAAAGUCAUACAGAUGUUUACUUGUCUCAAAUGUUAUAAUAGUUAUAUUAUACAGAAUUAUUGUGGUCAACGUAGCUUUAUUUAAAAACUAAAUAAAUGUAUAUAGUAUUAUUUAAUAAGUAGUAAAUAUAAAUUAUGCAAAAAAUAUUUUCAUUAUAUCAAAUUGAUGAAUUAAUAAACAAAUAGCUAAAAAAUUAUUUAUUAAUUUUUUAUAGGUCAAGAACCAAGAAGUAAGAGGGAGAGUGGAAGUUGAAGUUACCAUAUUAUAUGUUUACUAACAUAGACAUAUUAUAUUGAAUUAUUGUUCUCAACGUACCUUUAUUUAUAUUAGCAUUAUAGACGUCAAUGAUGUCACUCCUUUAACUAACUUUGCCACCCUUAAAUUUUAAUCUCACAUCAUAGUGCUCAAAAUCAAUUUAUAAACUUUCAUUUUCCUAACAAGAACUAAUGAAACGACAAAAGGUUGCUAACCCUGAGAUUAGUGAUGGAUAAUAUAAAUUAACACAUUAUUUUGUCACAUUUCAUGAGGGUUUUACUUAGCAGCCAAAAGACAAAGAAAUUAAAGGAUGAUAACAACAUUAUUCAGUCAAAUUUAAUUACAUUUUUAGGUGGCAUUGUCACUACUUAAAAAUUUAGCUAUGUUUUUCUAAGGCAGGUUCCAUUGGGCAUGAAUUAAAUUUAACGAAAUGAUGUAAGCCAGUUCAGGGGCAUCCCUUAAUAUAAUCUCCAUUAUUUGUUUACACAUAAUUGGUGCACAUGAUCUUCUUCAUCACCAAUAUGACAUCCAAGAAUGACCCCACCUUAAUUUAUUUUUUGCACCCCCCCAAAAAAAAUACACUACAAAUAUUAAUUCAGAAUCUAUCUACUAUAUAUAGUAGUAGUCACCAUAAGCCAAAUCUAAAUCCACAUCUACCUCUUCCUCUUUCUUAAUUUCUUAGUGCAAGUUUUCAUCAACAAAUUUAUUUUUUUUAGAGGAAGAAAAACACAUUGAAGAAAAAUAUGGCUCUUUCUAGGAAACCAUACUCAUACUCAAAGAUGGAUAAAGAAGAUCCUGAAGAAUUAAUCCAUAGAAGAGCACAAUUCUUGAUCUACAAGGUGUUGGAACAAGCAAAUUCUCGUAGAAAAUCAUCUUGUCUUAGAAUCAAAAUAUCUAAGUUGAAGGUGAAGAUUGGAAAGAGGUUAAGGAGGCUUAGAAAGAAAAUUAUAUCAAGUGUGUCUGCAGCAAGAGUUGGCAUUCAUGGACAUGUUGUGAGUCAAUUGAAAACAUGGAAGCGUUUGUUUGGGAGAGAAAAACAAACCCUUUUAACCAUUCCUUCUCUUAUGAUCAAAUAUUGAUACAAAUUACAUGGAAACUCUAUGGUGUUUUUUUGUGUAAUACCAUGUUAAUUAUGUUUUCUUCAUAUGGAGUAUGUCAUAUGUUUUCUUUAGGUUAGAAAAGAGUGAAAUCAUAAAUUCUGCUUCAUCAAGAUCAAUAUAAAAUUGUUUUUGCAUUUUAUUUUUCUAUCUCCCUCUACCUUUUUUGUUCUGUUAGAUUCUUGACUAUGUGGCAGAAGAAGUACAUGAAUUGAGAGGGUCAUUCUUGCCUCUUUUAAUUUAAAAAAGUGACGUGAUUUAUGUGGGAAGUAUACAUGGAUGUUUACUUUGUGAAAACAUUUUUUACUUUUAUUUUUUAAAAUUUGUGUUUACUUACUUGCUAACAAGAAGAUAAAAGAUCCUUAAAGUGAACAACUGUCUAUAUUUUAUGUAAACAAAAUGCUAAUUAUAGCAAAAAAGUUGGUCACGAUGGUAUCAUGACUAUUCAAUUGUACCGUAGCAAAUCACUUAUUUUUAUCAAUCGCCUCUUGUAUUCCGCCAAAGGAAACUCUAACGGUGGCCAUCUAUUCGCAGUACAUUCGUUAAGUUGUCUCUCGCACUAAAUAACAACGCUCUGUAUGUAAACAAUAAAAUUGUUAAAAGAAUUGUUUUCAUUUCUUCUUGAAAACAUUAUUUCUAGCCAACAUUUCAUCUUCUCUCCAUCGCAAACAAUUAUGACUCACUUUUUUGAAUUAGCAAGUUAAGAUAAACAUUUUUAUUUUUCCUGAAAUGAAGAAUUUUUUUUUUUCACAAAAGCAAAAGACUUACGUUUUUUUCACUAAUUUUUAUUUUAUAAUUACUUUUGGAGUACAAUUAUUCAAUAAUAAAACUAGUCAACUUCAAAUUUAAUUAUUAGACUUACUCAAUUUUACAUUUCACUUUUUUUUAGAAACCAACUUCAUGGAAAAUCAUGUUUGUCAAAUGCUCAGUCAAACAAACACACAUCAAUGACUGCUUGUCUUGUUUGCACUCACGAGAGGAAAUGUUUUUGAGCAAUAUAAUAUUAUAUAUUAAUAUAUAAUUUUAUGGAAAUUGAAUGUGCAAUAUAACAUGUCUAAUUUUCAAAGAAAUAACCGGUGAUAAUUUUUGUUGCUGACUUUUGUUGGUAGACGAAGUGACAAACACAACUUACAUCUAAUUGAGUCUCAAAUAUAAAUUUAGAUGAAAAUGAUCAGCCUAACAAUAUCGACACUUUGAGUCGAGUUAGAUCUUAUAAUUUGAAUAACUAUUGUAUUGUAUAUUGACGAAAUCAGAUUUUGUGUAUUAUAAUUUAGUCAAUCAUAAAACUUCCUUCGUUUUAUGUUUUCCAUUUUUGUGACAUAAGUAUUUUUGCAUCAAGAUUUGUUAUAUUUGAGUAUAAAAGAUGUUUACAUGGAUAACGUAUUUGGAUUAUACCUCAAAUAUAAGUGGAGUAAUAUUUUUCAUUAAAAUGGUAAAAAUUAAUGUUCAAAAUACUGUCAAAGUUCAAAGGACUGAACCCGGUAAACAAGCAUGCUGUUAUGCUAGCUUGUCAGGAACUUGGGAUUCUUUUUUUCAAGAUCUAAUGCUGACUUUAUGAAAGCAAAAAAAAAAAAAAAAAACAAGAAGAAUUGAGAGUGUGUGAAAGUUAGUGCAAGCAUUAAAGAGAACAAUUAUUGGUGAAAAGAGUCAACUAGUCAAAUACACCAUCCAGUACACUACCGUAGUGAGCCAGCUACUAUUUCUCAUCACUCCCUCAAUUAAAUAAUUAGUUUAUGUUAUUAUUAGUAUUAAGUAUAUGUCCAAGAAUCUGCAAGCAAAGCAAUGCUUCCAUCCAUCUUGCAAAAUCCCAGCCUGGCUGGUAAAUCUCCCGACAUCUUAUCAAUGGGAGUUGAGUAUACCGGAAUGAAUCGGUCUUUCAUAACAUAAUGAAUCAAUAUUGUUUGAAUCUCACUAGAAAGAGAUGUUCAUGUUCUAACAUCUAACAAUAUCUCAAAUAGUAAAGGUUUUCUUUUGAUAUCAACCCUCCGGUUUACUAGCAGAAAUGAACCAUAAUAAUCGGAGUUUAGUCAGAAGAUAAGUACAACUUAAUCGAAUUUAGGUUCUCUUAAAUAAUACAUCCUUUAGCGGAAGUUAUUUUCUCAGUUAGUAAUAUUCAUUUAACUUUGAUCAUGAAGAGAAUAUUUUGGUAACUUGGAGUUAAAAACUCCCCCUCUUUCAUAAUAUUAAAGUCUCCAUUUCUUUCGGGAUGAAUAGGAUCUUAACCCUUAAGUACUUGUAUUCUCCCUCUCCCUCUCCCUCCCUCCCUCCCCACUUAGCUUAACAAACCUUCAUUAAUCUUUCUUUCAAAAUAAAAUAUGGAAGAGAAGUGAAGAAUAAGUGCAUUUUUUCUUUCUUGAUAUAUGACAUAAUGGCCAUUGUGGAGCAAAUUAAGGUUUUUUUUUCCUUCUUUCAGAAAUCGUUUUUGGCAAAAACUAAGUCAAGAUCCUGUCUCUUUAUGAGUUUGGUUUUUGGAUCCUUUGUAGUGUAUUCGUAUGAAGUAACUUCAACAUUCCUCUCAUUGUGAGUGUUUGUUAAUUUUGAUUUUUGUGGUUGUCUUACUACCAUUUACUUGUCACAUAGUAAAAACAACAUUGAAUAAUGGUUAUACAAACUUCAAUGAUAAACUAUAUUCAAAUCCAUUAUCUACAUAAUCAACAACUUACUUGCAAUCAAGUUCAAAAAUAGUGUUUCUUAGAUUAGAAGCCACAAUUUCAAAAUAAACUAACUAAUUAAUUGAUUGAAUAAAAUGAAGGUCUAGCACAAAUGAAUGAUACGAGUUAUACAAGUGUUGUAUACUUCAAAAUAGCGAAUUUAUUUGAUUCCUACUCAACAAAAAUAAAAUAAAGCAAUUAAGCAAAUACAGACUAGCAUGGUUCAUGCAUAGCAAUAUUAGCACAUACAACAUUGUUCCUUUCGUCCCCACCACAACCAUUAUUAACACAGAUAGCUAGCAAAUAGCAUGCUAUCACGUUUCCUUCAGGCUUAGAAUUUGAACCAAAGUCAACUGUUGGCGCAUGAGUUCAUACUCAUUGUGAGUUUGAUUGAUUUCAAUUUGAGAUCAUGUCAUAUUGACUAAUGACACUAGUAUAUACUAGUACUAGCAGACUACAUAUAUAUCGUUAUCUUCCAUUUGCCAUCAAUUUUUUUUUAUUUUUUUUUUUUUUUUUUGUGUUGACAUCAUAUCGGAGAAUAUAAUAAUUGACCUUCAAAUUUGUUCAAUAAAAGAAAUAAUUGACCUUAAAUUACCUUAACAAAACUAGCAAUGAAAAUAAGAUUCGAUUAUCAACGGUAGCAUGUUUUCUGAUUAUUUGUACACGAUCUACAAAAAAAGUUAUCCAUCUAAUUCUAAAAAUCCAAUGUCAGUUUGUACCAAAAAAAAAAGCAAUGUCAUAUAUUUUAUUUUUUUGAUAAAAAAUGUCAGAGCAUGUAUAUAUUAAUUAAAUUAAAACAGUUUUUUUUCUUUAGGAACAAAAAAUUUGAAAAUAAAUCCUUUAGAAAAAAAAAAAGUGGGUCACUUGCCCCCACACCUCGUCCCUGGCACCAGGACCUGAAUUUUCUUCUAGUUUUCCCACUUGUCCAAUCGUUUCUUGGCUGUAUUUACCUGCAAUAUUCAUCAUAUUGUAGGCAUUAUAUUGAUUCAAUAUUAUUAGCAUUGGGUAAAAAGAAUCAUAUCAUUCAUAAUAUUGUGGUCUUGUCAAGGUUGUUUUUAGCAACUUGAAUCUAGGUUUUGUUAAUAAUGAUCAUGCAAUUACUAAUAAGAUUUUCAAAUACAAAUGAUAGUUCUUAAUUUGUUACGGGGAGGAGAAAUUUGUUGGUACCACGAAUUGAACACUCCUUAAUACUGGUGCAUAGAAUUGAGACAAUAAUCCGAUCAUAUUUAUUGAUAUCAAACUUAAAAUUUUGAAGAAGAGCACACUUUGAGAAUCUAAGCUAACAUCAUCAUACUAAUUCAAGUGGAUUAUAAUCUAAUCAUACUUAAAUAUAUUUUGAUGUACUCACUUAAUGAAAUAUAAGUAAAAGUGGUAGUUAAAAAAUCAAUGCAUGUGGUCAAAAUUUCGUCUACACACAUCAACUUUUUAAGUAUUCACGCGUCUCAAUUUAUAAGUCGUUUUGCAAUAUAUAAUGUUAUUUUUCUUAUUAUGUCCUUAAUUGUUUCUCACUCUAUAUUUUUUCAAUUUUUUUAUUUAUCUUUCCCAUAUCAUUUAUUAAUGACAAUUUUAUAAAAAAACUCAUAAUAUCUUUUUUUCAUAUAAAAUUAAUUACAUUUUUAAUACUUGAGAAAUGACCAAAACGACUUAUAAUUUGGGACGGAUGGAGUAUCAUUUUUGCUUAUAUUUCAUUAUAGAGGGAAUACUAAUAAGAAAUGAUAAACCUAAUAAUUAUAUUCUAUCGACCUUUGGUUAUUUUAAGGGAAAAUAGUCUUUUUAGUCCCUAAAUGUGAAAUGAGUAGCCACAAUAGUUUAUCAUUGUAACAAAAUGAUAAAAUAGUAUUUGAUUGAACACUCUAUUAGUCAAAAUAGUCUCUGACGUUAAAAUAUUUCAUUAAUCCUUUGGUAGAAUUUAUUAGUCACUCGAGUUCGAUCACGUAAAUAUAUUUUUUUUAUAAGAAAAAAAAGUUAGACAUUGAACUAUCCAUUCAAUACAAAGAUGUUCUUGUCAAGCAAAACUGACCUCUUUAAUCCAAUCAGUGCGAAAUGUGAUCCAUAAUAAAAUGAGGGUCUGCAACACUGUUCCUCCAAUCAUGCCGGACCAUAUUCCCUACAACAAAUAUAAACCCAAAUUUUUCAUCAAUUAAAAUCUGGUUGAUCAGAUUGAAGUUUUCUUGUGCUAGUUUGAAGUCUAUAUAUCUUCCUACUAUCCCAAGUGGAAGGAGCCUUUUUCCUCACCCUCCACAUUUCUUAAAAUUUACAUACGUAAAAUCUAUUUUUUAUACAUCAGAAGUGAUAACUGCAAUGAACGAUUAGUUGUAACAUGAAUCACUACUAGUAUCAUACCUUAACACCAAGGUUGAAUUUGAAGCCUAAAACACAACCCACUGGGACUCCAACCCCAUAAUAACAUCCUACGUUUAUAUAAGCCACAAUGGCUUGCCAUCCGCACCCAACUGCCACUCCUACAAAGUCAAUCCCCACAUAUCAAUGAGAUUCAACGUAGUUUUCUCCUCCAAGUGGUCAAUAAGCAUAAACAAAGAUAUUGAUAUUUGCUAUACAAUUCAACUUUUUUUUGUUAAUAAUUCAAUAAUUACUUAAUACUUCAUAACAAAAUUUUACAAGUGAUUGCUUUACUUAUACAAAUAUUGAAUUCAAGAGUAGGUGAUGUAUUUCUUUAGGUUAUUUUUCAAGUAGAAUUACGGGAUAUAAAAAUAAAAAAAUUGAAGUUUAUGAAUUCAAACUCGGAAAAAAGAAAAAUAAAAUAAUUUAACAACUAACCACUAACAUUUAUCAUUAAAAAAGAAGUCUAAGUGAAAAAUUCAGAUUCAAACUUCAUCCCUACAUAAUGCAACACUUCUACUAAGUAAAUUAUGAUCAAGAGACAAUAUUUCUUUAGGGUUUGAACGUGUGGUCUUGAAUGCAUUUUUUUACGUCUUGGCGAUUGCAAUUGUGACUACUUCAUCAGUAUUUUUCCACAACUUUUCAUAAUAUUUGGUUUUCAUUAGCAUACGACGAAAAUGUUAUAGUGAAUAUUGUCAUAUCUUUUUAUUUUUAAAAUAAUAAUAUAACAUUUAACUAUUUUCUCUUUUCAUUGAGAAAAUUCUUACUCUUAUAUUUGUAUACCUGAAAGCACUGGUUGGAUCCCAUUAAGAAUUAGAGUGACAGCCAAGUAUGGACACAAAUCUGAUACUGCAUUUGCAACAGUUUCACCUUCGGUGAAUACGUAACUUAUAACAUGACGAAGUGCAAGGACCACAAUUGCUUCUAUCACCGCAAUAAUGAAUGAAACCAUAUUCACAAUAACCACUGAAAAUGCUGCUGCUUUUGGAUUCCCAGAUCCCAAUUCGUUGCUCACUCUCACACUGUAAAUUAAUCAAUUCUCGCAAAAACUUGUUACAAACAAGUAUAUAUAUUUACUCCUAUUUACUGCAAUUAAAUUAGUUUAGUAUGACCAUUAAUUGAAGACAUAUUAUGCCCUAUAUUGACACGUUAAUAAAAUCAUAAGUUUUGUUAUAUAAUAAUACAACAUGAGCCAAAUUCUUCCAUUUUACAACAAAACAUCAGAAUAAAAGUUUAAAAAGCCACAAUAUUUCCUCAUAAUGAACAAAAAUAGAGUAUCACAUGUACCGUAUGCGUACCAAACACAGUUACUUCACCUUUUUUUACAAGUACUCAUGCUUAAGAGAUUAUAGCAUAAUUUUACUAACCUUGCAGCUGCAUUAAAUCCUACUCCAAUUUGCAACAGCAGCCCCGCUAUUGUCAUGCUACAUGAGACAUGAGAAAAUCUAUUUUAGUGUGUUCGUCUGAUUGGUUCUAUCAUGACAAAAUAUAUUUUUUUUAAAAAAUCAACUUUAUCUAAAUAUAAGUUUAGGUAAAAUGAUUUAUAUUUCCGCGUGUUCAACUAUGUAGAACAUUAAAUGUAGAUAUAAAAAUUAUGCUUGAAAUCAAAACUAGCACAACAACAAGUGUAUUUACUUGUUGAGAGUGAGAGGAAAAAAUGCAGAGAGGAAAAAUAGUUUCUCAUGGUCUGUGUUAGUAUUCUCCUAUUUAUAAGAGAGAGUGUAAUUGUACUCUUCUUACAUUUAAAGAGAGGUUUUAUAAUUUCUUCCAUUCAGUGAAAGUUUUCUAGUCAUACCCCGUUGUUUUUCCUCUUAUUUGUUGCUAUUGUAUCCAAUAAAUUAUGCAUUAUUACUUACCAAACAGCGACAGAAUCAAGAGCAAGCUCAGGAUUAUCAAGCAAACCAGUAAUAAGCACAAGCACCUGAAAGUACCAAAUCUCCAAGCAAAGCAUAACCGCAGAAGCACUUGAUAAUUUCACAAAAUCCCAAAGUUUGUAAAAAGCCUCAACACUAAACCCAUUCCAAGUACGUUCACACUUUCUUGAUUUAACUAUGUACACAAACUGGGCCACCACAAUAACCCACCAACAAAAACUCAAAACCAAUGAUGACCCAAUUAGGCCCAAGCCCAACUUGAAAACCGCAACCCAACUAAGCAACACAUGUAACACAAGUGUUGCUACCGAGAUGUAAGUGCUAGGCCGAACUAUGCUUUGCGCUUGGAGAAAUUUUUGUAUGGGGAAGUUCACCGCGUAAGCGAAGAUCUGUGGGAUCAAACCGUACACGUAUGUGGCUGCAGAAGAUGCCAAUGGCUCUGAUUCACCUAUUAAGAGUAAGAUUGGUUUGCAGAAAAUGUAGACUAUGGUUAAGGGAAUUGCUGUUAUGGUCAAUACUAUUGUUGCUCUUUGCAUGUAUAUUCCUAGCAUUUCAUAUUUGUUUGCACCAUAUGCUUGUCCACAUAAUGUCUCCACUGCACUUCCCAUGCCCAACUGCAAUCAAUUAAGGUGAAUAUUAUUUAAAGAUGUUUCGAUGAAGUUGUGAUAUAAACUGAUUGAUUAUGAAAUGAUGAAAUGUAUGAAUCCAUACCUUACGACGUUAAAGAAUUAAAUAUAGUAAUAAUGUAUUGGCAAUUGUGUAGUCAACUCUUUAGGAAUUAUAAAAAGGUUUUUUUAAUACAAAAUUUCUUUAUUUUGUUCCUAAAGAAAUGUCAAGUGCUUGUUAGUACAUGACCUUAGUCUUAACUACUUCAUCUUUUAAUAUGCGUCAAUUACUGGUUAACUAUGUGUCUCCUCUCAUUUAAUUCCUCCAAGUCACUUUAGGUAUCUUAAUAAAUAUUCUCUGUCGCAUAAAAUAUAGGGAAAAAUACAAUAACCUCCCUUGAGGUAUGCUCUUAUGUCACAAAUACCCCCUCUAUUUUACAAAAAUACAUAAGCCUCCCUUAUUUGCUUCCAGAUCGGAAUUAUUUUGAACCAAUUUCCUUCCAAUUUAUUCGAAAAGCCUUUAACCACCAUAAAAUGAAAGUGAACAUUCUUUUCUUCUACCAAUAUCUUGUUGGUACGUUGCUUCACAACCAGCAAGUGUUCUUCCUCAAUUACUGGGCCAAAGAAAAAAUCACCACAAACAAACCGUAAAAUCAAAUGAAAAAGGGAGAACAACAAACCAUGGCAAUCACAACGACCCCCAAGUGCACUGUUAACGUUAUUAAUUCACUCGCCAUUGUUUAUGAAAAUGAAAUUUGUCCGUCACAUUGGGGAAAACCGAUCAUUAUAAAUUGAAAAUAAAAACUGCAGUAACUGGUUUUUUUUGGAGCAAUUCACUUCUCCGUCGUUCUAAUGUUAUUCCCAAUUAGUUUCACCACCAACUUAAUUUUCCAGUUCUUCUUAUUCACUGCUCAGAAACUUGGUUUUAAGAAGUUACUCGUCCACAAAUAAAUAAUUAAUAUAGAUAGAUUUUUGUCCUAUAAAAAAAAGGAUAGAUUUUUGUAAAAACUUGAUGGAGAUCGUCAGUAAAGCAACCUACCAUACUAGGAGCAAGUAAACCUUGAGGAAGAAGAUAACCCUGCAUUUCCUUUCUUUAUUUGCUUAACUCCGUUAAUUACUAUUUGGGACGUUAACUUUGAAGGGAAGUGACUGUCCAUUGUUUGAACAAUUAAGGGAGGUAAAUGUCUGGUUUAAAAAUAGAGGGGGUCUAAGUGUCAUUUAGAGAGACCUCAGGGAGGUCAUUGUAAUUUUCCCUAAAAUAUAUUCUUAUCGAGUAUAUAUUGAUUUAUUUACUAAUACAAUACUUCACCUAAUAUCGAUUAUAAACAACAUUUCAUGUUUUUAACUGAUGUAUUUAGUCUAUAUUAGUUAUUCAAUGAAUCUGAAAACUAACUUUUUUUUUUUUUUUUGCAUAGAAUUAAGACGGAGAGAGUAGAUGUAAAUUGAAAUAUAUUGAAUUUAAAGAUAAUCUUUUUGUCAAAUAGGUCAAUCAUUGUGUAACGAAGGAAUUAUAAAUUAGGGAGAACAAAUGAAUCUUAUAUUGUAGGUUGAAGUGUCACUGUUGUUAUUAAUGUUUCACAAAAUGUGCAUUAAUUUAAAAGAAGAAAAAAGGAAAGAGUGGCUCCUUAUAACCAAUAGUUAUAUGGAUCAAACUUCUCUGCAAAUAGCCACGUGAACCAUGCAUUAGACUCAAUUACGAGAUUUGAACAUUCUGCAUUAUGACUUUGAUAAAUUGAGUCCAAGAUAUACAAAUUUAAAAUACAAGUCAUUUGAUUUUUGGUAUGAUGAUGAAUAUGCAAAGAAUCAAAAUCCAAAAGUUAUAUGCAAAUGCUGGAUACACAAAAUGGAUGCUAUAUGCAUAUAGUAUAAUUAAGUAACGGUAGCUAGCAUUACCAUUAAGCCAGAAGCAAAGAGCUGAAUUCCACUAUUGCCAAGAUUAGCAGCAGCAAGCUGAAGAUUACCAAGAUGACCGGCAAAGGCGCGAGUAACGGUAGACAUGGAGUUGUUGAUUAAGUAAACGAGGAUAGCCGGCGUGGCAAGAGGAAAAAGAAGGUUGAGUUCAAUCCAUGUAGCAGAUAGAAGUCUCUUUAACAAAGGUAACUGAGUGUUUGAUAACAUUUCUUCAAGACUAGAAUUCAGUUCAGGUGGUGGUGGAUGAUCAUGAGUUAAUAUUGGUUGAUGAAGUUCAUCAAAGUUGGAUUCCAUAUUAUUUUAUGGUCCAAAUGGAACCAAUAGAUGCUAUAUGUUGAUGGAGGGAGUGAUACAAUGAAUAAUGUAAAUGAUUGAGUAUCUCAUAGUAUAUAGAGAAUGGGAUGGAACAGAGAUAUGACAUGUUAGUUGCAGUGCAAUAAAUAUAGCUUCUUUUGACUCCUAAUGAUUUUCUUAUGUCGCUUUACACAAAAAAAAAUUCUCACUAAUUUUCAAGGUGUGAGCAACUAUACGAGUUUUCCACCCCUAAAUAACUGUAUUUAUAAAUAAAGCUUAUAACUUUACAUAUACAAAAACAAUUCAAUUUUAUAGUGUAUUUUAUCUUUUUUUUUUUUUUUUGACAAAAGUAUAUUUUUGUCUUUUGUUAUAAAUAUAGUGUAUGCAUAAAUAGUUAACAUGAUAAGUGUUUAUCUGUCGAUAAAAAUAUAAUAUUUUUUUUUUUUUUAUAAUAUAAGCUGCAAAUUAAACGAGUUAUGAUCAUCUCUGUCUAUGAUUCUCUUUAUUUCUUUAAUUUGAAGAGAUAAAAACACAAAAAGGUUUAAAAAAAUAAUAAGUAAUGAUGGUGGGAUUCAGUUAAUAGUACAACCAAAUAUCUAUUUUUUUUUUGUUUAUCUCCCUUCAAAUUGCAUACUCCAUUUAUUUUGUCAAAUGGAGAUGAUUCUUACUCAAAUUAAACUAUUCAAUCAAAGAGAGCCUUAAAUUGUUUCAAAGAUAACAAAUUAAUACAAAAUAAUAAUAAUAACAACCAAUUUUGAUUUGAUUUACCGCAUCUUGAUUUUUUACAUUUGCUUUUCCUUCAGAAUAAUUUAUCAAAUGAAUUUUAUUUAAAAAUAAAUGUAUUCCCUCUGUCCCUUUAAAUAAACACUAUUUUUUUUAUUCCCGUGAACUUAGCUCAGUUGAUAAGGACAAUACAUAAUAUAUAGAUCUGAGGUUCGAAAUCCGACCACCACAAAAAAAAAAACACUUUUUUUAUGUCCAUGUUCGAAAAAAUUUGAUAAUGUAAUUAAUGUGUGUUCUUACAUUUUAUGUCCUUCAAAAAAAUUCAAUAAUAUAAUGUAAUAUUGUUUAGAAAUAUAAGAUGUACACAUAUAUUAUCAAUCUUUCAAAUACAGAAUUAAUAAUACUAAUUAGAAAUAUCUGUCAAAAAAUAUAUUAAAUACAAGGGAAAUGUAUUUUUGGAAAUAAUAGCUAAAAGUAUAUAGUUGAAAAAAUAUAAAAUAAAGUUUUUAUUCAGAGACCAUUUUCUUUCCUUGUAAAUAACUCUUAUAAAUAGGGAUGAGUUUAGUCUAUAAAAGAGGAAAAUAUCUUUCCUUAAAAAAAAAAAAAUGGUGGCUGGUCCUUUGAAUGCUAAAACCAUUAAUUGGGAUUCAAUGAAGCUUACUUGUAAUGGCGAUCUAAUAAACAUGUUGUUUAGUCUUUUACUUUACUACUUUCUCUUUGAUCUGAUCUUUUUUUAUUCGAGUGGGUUAAGAUCCUCUUCAUUUAUAACUUUUUUUUAUUUGUUGUGAUUUGGAGAGAGGUAGACAAAAAAAAAAGAAUGAUGGUGGGAUCCACUUAGUAACCCACCACUUAUUUUUUUUUUUUGUUUAUCUCUCUCCAAAUUGCAACAAAUGAAAAAAGUUAUAAAUGAAGAGGAUGAGGAUCUUUACUCGAUUAAAUAUAUUACUUUUAUCUCUAUAAAUAGAACUAUACAUUUUUUUUUUUAAAAGAACUAUAUAUAUAUAUACUCUCUUUCAAAAAAAAAAAAACUAUAUAUAAAUUAACAAUGUAGAUUUAAACAGAACAUCCCUAUCUAAAUUUAAAUAUGAAAUUUGGCAGUUAGACACUAGGAUGGAACAACGAACAUUAUUCAGACAAUGAUAAACUAUAACCUUACUAGUACCCUAUUAGACAUUUUUUCAUGGGUUAAUUUAUAUAUAAUGAUUGUUUAGAUGCCUUUGAAAUACAAACACACCUAUAAAUCAUUUAUAUACAAUGUCCGACAUGUCUUAAAUAAGAUUACAUCAAAUAAAAGAAAUUAGAUAAAUCACAAUCAAGAUUCAAAUUUUUGUUAGGGAGUAAAAUCAACUUAAGAGCGUGUACCAAAACAAAAAAUAAAAUCAACUUAAGAGUGAGUGAUAUUUAAAACAAAUUUUUUUUUUUGGUUUAAGCGUGAGAGCCUUAUGUUGAUCAUUUUUCUUUUUAGGGAAUGUAGAUCAUUUUUCUUUUUAGGGAAUGUAGAUCAUUUUAUUGGUAUUAGGUACUAUCAACUUUUUCUUAAAAAAAAAAAAAAAGGUACUAUCAACUUUAAUAAAAAAGAAAAAUCAAUUUCAAUAACAAAAUGUGUUCUUCUUUGUUUUCCACCAAAAAAAUUAUGAGGAAUGCAACACUCUCUUUUGAACACUCUUUCUAACACUCACUUUUUUGUUGGAUGAAAUCAACAUAUGUCUCACCACUUUAUGUGGUUUCCAUUUUUAGAGUGUAGGUUCUAUAUUGUUUGUUUUCAUUCAAUAAAAUAAUGAGUGCUAGAAAGAGUGUUCAAGAUAGAGUGCAUUCCUCAAAAAUUAUAUUCUUUUAUGCUUUUUGGACUGUGGUUGCCGGUUGGAACGACCAUUAUUAUUAUUUUUUUCUAAGGAAAGGACGACCCAGCUAUCAGUAAUGGAUUUCAAUUUGAUGCAUUUAUUUUGUCAACAAUCUUAUCUUAUUAAUAACAACGUCGAAUGAGAUUGUUAAAAAUUUAUUGUGUAUGGUAUAAAUAAGCCCUUCGAUCUUAGAUUAAAGGUUGAAAUCAUUUACCACAUGUCGACAUGUGCUUUUUUAUAGCAGGCAAUUUGGAUUAGUCAACAACCCAUAUAUAGUUAUAUCGUUGAGUUUUAAGUAUGAGUGUUUUAGUCUCAUAUCGUUUAUGGGUGAAGUCAUGAGUCUUUUAUAUGCUUUGUAAUGAGCAAGAGAUCUUAAUUUAAAUAUGGAUUUCGACUUGGUGAGGGGAGCGGAAGUUUGGAUCCCAUAUUGUAUCCUAUUAUAGGAGGUGGAAAUUCACAUUUGAGAGGUAGAUUUUUGGAUUUAAAGUGUGAACGGUUAAGUCAUAGGCCGCAUAUGAAUAAGUAAAAUGUUUGAGGUUAUCCAUAUACCUAAUGCCUUAAAAUUUUGGAUGGAUGUGUGGUGUCUCACUUUCUUAUGGUCCUGGAGCAUUAACCCUUUGUUUCUCUCGUGACCCCGGACUCCCCGACAAGUGGUAUCUGAGUCCUAUUACAAAAAGUGGGAACUCACAUUUGAGGGGUUGAUUGUUGGGUUCAAUGUGUGAGUCGUUAAGUCCCGCAUCACUUAUGAAUAAGUAAAAUGUUGGAGGUGAUUCUUAUACCUAACAACUUAAGGUUUUGGAUAGAGAUAUGGUGUUUCCCUUUCUUGUGAUCUUGAAGCAUUAUUGCGCUGUUUCUCCCGCGACCCUGGACUCCCCAACAAGUAGUAUCAGAGUCCUAAUUUGACUUGAUGGGGGAAGGAGGAUAUGGAUUUUUCGUUGGAUCUUGUUAUAGGAGGUGGGAACUAACACUUGACGGGAAAGUUAUAGAGUUUCAAGUAUAAAUGGUUAAAUUACAACAUUAAAAUUUAAGGUGAAUAUGUGAUAUGUUACUCUCUUAUGAUCAUGAAGUAUUAGCUCGUUUACUUCCUAGGACUCCCCAAAACAAUCAAACAAAUUGUUAUGACCUAACAUGAGAUUCAUAUAUUUAGGCUCAAGUGAUUUAAGGACUACAAGUUCCAUUAGCUGAUGUUGUUAUUCUUUUAGAAGAAUCUAUAUAAAUCUAUUAGAAUGAGUAUGUGAUUAAUUUGUUUAUUGAGGAAAAUUAAUGUUCAACCUUUAAAAAAUAUUGUAAAUUGGACACAAUUUUUUAUACAUAAAUUUUGUUAGUGAAAUCCUUAUCAUUUCUCUUUGUUUAAACAUGUGGAUGUUAUAAAUAAGAAUUUAGUGAUUGUGAUCAUUACCAAGAAAAUGAAUGAACAGAGUAGUUUUAGAAUAGCUUAACUAUAGUAGUAAUUUUUAUUCUCUUUGUCGUGUACUUUAAUUUUUUUUAAUCUUUGUAGUAUAUUUUCUCUAGGUACCACCCAAAAAGAUGGUCUAAGUUAACACACCUACAAUAUAAUUGACUAAAGUUGAGUUCCAUGUGAUUAUAUUACAAACAACUUUUUUAAACAUCACAAUUAGCAUCGAGUGGUUGAGUAAGUUCGUACGUCUUGACUGUUAGAACUUGGUUUUUGUUUUUGUUCCUUUUGACUGUUAGGUACUUGCUGUACUAGUAGCUGGUUCACCUCGACAGACUAAUUAAUGGAUGUCUAAAAACUAGGGAGGAUUAUUGUACUAAUAGAUCAAUUAAUUGUUCCUUUUGUGUGACCGAUUUUAUUUCAAUGCGUUUCUUAAUUUUGGUUUUUAUGGGAGUCUGUUAUUCUUUUAUGCUAUUCUCUUUUCCCCUCAUAUACCACAUUUACUCCUCCAUAGUUUCGAGAUAUUGGGUCAUGAGAGGAGCUCCAGAGUAUCACAUUAAGCUAAGAUCAAUCACAUAAAUUGAAUUAGACAUUACAUCUUCACUCAAACUCUUGGUCCCUAAUUUAUAAGUUUUUUAACAUUCAUUUUUCUAUUUAUUGUGGGACUCCUACUCACGGUAAUGCAUACACCAAUACAAGAGAUACAAGUAACUAUAUUAUAAUAGGAAGAGUGAUGCCAAUACUCUCUUUUCAACACUAUCUCUAACAUUGCUCUCUCAUAAGGUGAAAUCAAUGUGGAUCACAUCACUUUAGACGGGAUCCAAUUCUAAAGUGUGAAAUCUACAUUAAUUUCAUCCAAUGAGAAAGUGAGUAGUACUAGCAUUUCUCGUUAUAAUAUAUCGCACUAUGGUUGCUCUCAUUGUACCUCUGCCAUCUACAACCACAACGAGACGGUUGGGAUAAUAAUUUACUAUUUACCAUUAAGAUUGCUAGCACACAAAAACUUGAGGUAAUCAGAAAUUAUUAAGACAUGCAUAAUCACAGCAAACAGGGGUUGGUAUAUAAUUUCUGGUAAAAAUCAUUUUAUUCUAUUUUGGUUAUUCUAGUUUUCUAUGCCUUAUUUGUAACACUCCAAUGUGGUCAGGUCUCGAGUACAUGAGUUUAGACGUGAAGCUGUGUAAACUUCGAAGAGCACACAUGAUAUCAGGUUGUACCGGAGGCUCUCCCUGGUUUUGCUUUCGGGACAAUAAUUUUUGACACGGCACAACAGCUCUCAUCUCCUGGUAUUUCCAACAGAGACAUCAUCAAAACUGGCGACAAACUUGAAAAAAAAACUUCCCACCGGAAUGUUUGCGGCAAAGUCCCUGCACAUCUGCACAGAAACUCCAUAGCCACUUCACCUCUAAGAUUUGAGUUUAAUCCGUUCUCCGCUAAAGUUAGCAAUUAUUGCGUGUGAUUUCAAUGAAUCUGUCUGCAUGUUUAUGUUACUCAAAUAUGGAGACCGUAACUCCCUGAGUAGAAAAGAUACCACUACAUUCUUUCAUACACUUCAUUGCUCCCUGCUUGUAAUUUUUAAGGAUCACGGAUUUACUCACUCUCAACUCCCGAAAGAGUAGCUCGAUGGUUGGGACACCAAAGAAAUUACUUGUAGGAAAUCCAAGGUUUGAUCUCUGCUACUAACAUUUCCUCCUACGUCUAACAAAUUACUAACCACUAACAUUUGUAUAUCCAAAAGUAAAUUCAUUAAACAAUACAGAACAAAACUAACCACUAAUUACAAAACCACCUUCAACAUCAAUUCAGGUAUACAUCUCAAUCUUGACAGGUUAUUGUAUAACCUAUGCUUUCUAAAUUUCUUAUAUACAAAAAAAUUAUUACACAAAGCACACAAUAAUCAUUAAUCAAUAAGAUCAGAAACAUAGUGGGGUUCACCUCCAAUUUGAGAUCUCUUUGUCAUAAAACCGGCUACAUUUGAAUAUAAUUAAUCUUUGACAUCAACACCCAUCCAAAAGCCCUUAUCGUUGAAGGACUAGGAAAGCUGCAUCUAACUAACAAGGAUGCUCUCAUAAAUUACACGAGUGCCAUGGCGAGAAAGAAUAAAUUGACAAGAAGGAAUAUGAGCACGUGACGACUGUAGAGACCUGCAUAAAAUGAAAAAUAAAAUCAUCAAGACUAAUGAGGUUCAUUUAAUGCAAUUUUGCAAGUUUCUUCAAAAUUUAACUCUAAUGUUAAAUAUUUCAAUACCAAGUUGUAUGAGGAACAAAUGCAUUUCUAGUAAAAAUGUAAAGAAAAGUAAUUUCAGCAAUUAAUACUUCAAAUUUACGACUUCCUAUAAUUAGGACCAAAGAAAACACCAAACUUUUUCUUAUAUAUGCAACCAGAGGAAGUAUCUACACAUAAACAACCAUAUCUAUUGCAGUCAUUACUUAUCUCGGUCACCACACAAUUGGUCAAUAUUUUGUUUACUUCUAAAAAAGCCGAUCUAAGGUGUUCGAUAGAGACUAGAUGGUUCACAUUCGUGACUUUGGAAAAUCAAAAACUCGUAUUCUCAACCAUUCGAUUUCCAACGACUAAAAUCAUUAAUUACAGUGACGGCUGACAACAUCAAAUCCCAUUUGAAUUGAUCGGAAAUCCCCAAAUUCGAUCACUAACUGAAACAAUCAUUGACUAGAUUUUACUUACUCUCUCCUAAGAACCUCCUAGAACUGAGCUGAUCAAGAGACCAUUUUAAACUCCUAAUGGCUAUGUCAAGCAUAUGUUAAUAUUUCAAACAGCGUUCAAGAAUUCAUUGAUUACUGAAUAAACAGCAUAAAUUCAAAAGGUUCUCUUACAACUUUGACCAGAUGCUGCUGCAGGAAGAGCGGGGAUGUUGACAGCUGCAGUUCCAAUAAGGUAGAGUUGUCAAGAAAUUUAAAGAUAUAAAAUAUUUCACAUAUAAAUGAAAAAUUGAAGUUGCGAACCAGAAAAAAAACCUAAAAAAAAAAAAAAAAGUAGUUUGCCACUUCAGGAGGGUAUACACAUACAUUUAUUGCAUGAUUUAGAAGCUAGUUGAGAUGUAGAAGGCCAGGGAGCUGGAAUAUUGUCAUUUAGAUCACAAAGGAAGGUAACACCAGAAGUACUGUCAAAGAUAGCAUCUGAAGGCAAGCUAGGCAAUAGACAACCAUACUCUGUUUAGGGAAGAUAACGUAGCAAGUCAAUUCAUAGCACUACAUUAAAUGAAAGAUCACAUUAAAUAGUAACUCAAUGACUUAUUUGAAGCAUGUUGAAAUAAAUAAAAAUGCAUUUCAAAAGUAAAUAUUUAAAAAAAAAAAAAUCUCCGAAGCAGUCCCUUUGGCAAAAUAUUUAAUCCUUCAAGGGGGAAAUAAACAUUAUGCGGUUUUUGAAGAGUAUGACUUAGAGACAUUUAGUCCUUCUGUCCAGCGGGCUCCAUGACACUUCCAGAUCUGCACGUUACAAGUAACUUGCUUAGUUGGCACUAACUUAAUCCAAGAAGAUCCAUGAGAAUGAUGAUCCAGAUCCCGACCCUACAAUCACCCCUCAUCUUAUUGUUGUUCCUUACUUCGAUAGUGCUUCUUUACUCGUGCCAAUGUUCGAAUACGAACAAGAAGAGGUUGCUAAGUGCAUGAUGUUGUUGUCCAAAUAUUCUAGCAACAAGGGUCAUUUUGCUUCUGUUACAAAAAUCUUCUGAGAAUAACUUGGUUGUGCCAGAGGAGUAGCAUACUCUCAUACAAGGGUUGCUAUUAAUGGUAACAAUUUUGUCUCUGAUUCUCAUGAGUUUUUGGGGGAAGAAGUUGCACAAUAACAUCAAGUUAAAGUUUGAUGAGAUCGGUGUUUCUGAUGAUUCAGAUAUGGUCCGAAAAAGGUAGACUCAGAUGUAUAAAAGUGAUCAAUUUAACCGCCUGAAGGUGGGAUAUUUUUAUGGGUUUAAGGACUAUCAUGUUUAAUCAAGUUAGAUAUUAAAUAGAGGCAGAAGAAAACACAUUUUCAAUGUUACUGAAGAAUUGAGUGAUGGAUUAUUCUUAUUUGGACAAACAAAUGACAGUAAAUGGUUUACUAAUAAUGAAAUCUAUGAAAUGGUAACAGUUUAUAAAUAUGAGUGCUUGAAUGGGAUAACGGCUCUUAGGAUUACCUAUAAAAGAGAGAUUAAAAUAGUUUUCAACAAAAAGAAGUCUGGUAAUGCUAAGUGCAGUCUAAGAAAGGUAGGCAACAUGAGUUUCCAACCAUGUGAGAAAAUAAUACGGGCCAAGUGGGUGCCGUGUAAGCAAGUUAACGUGCCAUACAUGCAGAUAACUUAAAUGUCAUGGAACCUUCUUCACAAAAGACUAAACAUACACAUUUCAGGAACCACACAAUUUGUAAAUGUGUCCUUCCGCAUAUUUUCCAGGGACUGGUUGGGGGUCUCUUUUUUCCACAACUGAAAACAAUCAUAUACUUAAAACCCUUCCCCUUCCCUUUUCUCUCUGACCUCGGUCCAACACUCUCCCAAACAAAAAAGGUGGUACAUACUACAUGCAAAUGGUAUAUAUUGACAUAGUAUACAGCAAUAUGUAGUUACCUUGAGUUGCAACUGAAGCAUCCACAAUGUUGAUCACCACACCAAGUUAAACAAGCAGGGUGAAAAAAUGAAACAUUAACAUCAGACAUGAAAUAUUAAUAAGUGUUAUUGUGUUGCAUACUGAUGGGAAGAGAGAAAUAAACCAAACCUUGUAGGGAAAAAUCCUUAAGGCUUAUGUGACAAAGACUAUAAACAUCAUCAGCGACAUUUGACUUUUUUAAUUUCAUUGCCAAAGUUUCUGCACAAUCCAAAGCUUGCAAGUUUGUGAUGAAGCUCUGCUUCUGCAAGUGAGACACAUAGCUCUCCAUCGCAUUACAGCACGCUGUUCUGUUACUUAUCCCACUGCCGCAACUCUUGGCAACUUGCUUCGCGUCAGGCAAAACAAGUGGACAAACUGGCAAAAAGAGAAGAUUUAAGCCAAAAAAAAGGUCAUUAAGGAGCCAGAAGGAUUAGCAUCAUUCGAAUGAAAAAAUAAAAGAUUUUACUCAAACAAACCUUUAUUCAUAUUGCAAUUAGACAGUCCUCUGAGAACUUUCUUGCCAUGAGACGGGUCAAGCUUACUAGCUAUCCACCGGAGUACUAUAUUUCUACAAUCAUUAACCCGAAUUGAAUGCUCAGGCAGAUCAUGUGAUGCAUCUAAGUCCAAAACAUGAGAACCUUUUGAUGCAAUUGCUGUAGCUGCUUCUAAUAUAGCAUUGUGACAAACUUGGUAGCAGCAUUCUUUCACUGGAUCAAUGUCCGCACAAGCAAGAAGCAGCUUAGAAGUAUCCACCAUGUCAUUAAAUUCAUUCACAUGUUUUACCGGGCAAGAUGCCUCUGUGAGAUUCGAAGAACUAAUUGAACAUAUUUGCCUCAGAUCACCACUUGCACCCUGCCCCAUCAAAAUCUGCUCCACGUCUGAAAGGCAAUGUUUAGCAACAGUCCCAUUUAAGGCAAGUGCAUUGGUAUGUUUGCUGGAUUGACCGAUGAGAACUGUGACAGUGGCUUCCAAUUGGGGACAGCACAUUAUAUUAGCCACAAAAGGUGCAAAAAAUCCCCAGCAAUCAAUUGCUGUCACACUUAGCAAACUUUUAGCAUUAGUGAAGUUCAAACUGCAGAGUCCUGAAAGAUACAUCAACUGAGACAGUGAGAAACAGAGAUAGCCGUUGAAAAUCCAAAAUGACCUGAGAAAUUAUUUAGGAAAUGACCUGAUAACUUUGGGAUAGAGAUAUUGGUGAAUGGAGUCAUUGGUGACGGCGCAAGAAGAGGAAGAAAGGGUUGCGGUCCUUGUGGAGCACCAAGUGGCGCGAUCUUGGGGAACAUGGAGCCCACAUGGUUAUCCAGUUGAACGGGACCUUCAGCAUGCUCGACUCUACUACUAUGGGAUUCACGAGCACCUGUGCCAAAAUACGAAAAAAGAAAACAAGUUCUAAGAAUGACUAAAGUAAACUUCAAUAUACAAUUAUGCUUCAUGAGCUCUAGCAUUUUAAAGUUGUGGGAUAUGAGUGGGUGUCGAACAUUGUAAAACCGAAUCUCCAAUUUUAUGGACUCAGCUAUACCAUUAUAAUUUGACAAUGCAACAACCGCUAGAUCAUAGAAGCUCCCUAGUCAAUAUGAUCAAAGACAAAAAAUAACUACACAAACAUCUAUUGUACAAUAAGUCCCUGUCUGGAUUAACAACUUAUUGUUCAGCUUAAAGCAUAAGUGUUUAUCAUGAUACACGCUUAUGUAUCAGCUAUUUCUAUACAAAGGAUAAAACAAAGUUAAAUUAUUUUCAUAUAAGCUGUAAACUGUUUUCAUAAGCUAUCUUGGAGAACUUAUGAAAAUACGCAGAAAACAAAUUAUGAACAUAUCAUAAGCUGUUUUCAUAAGUUCUCCCAAAUAAUCGCACAAGUGCUUAUGUCAAUAGAUAACCUCAAAUAAGUCAAUCCAAACAGACCUUGUAUGUAUAAUUUUGCGCUUAAUUAGCACCAACAGCUAAAUUGAAACCAAAAUUCAAGAAUGACCCUAAAUUUAUUCCCCCCACAAUAUCAUCUCUUGAAAUAAAAAAAAGUACAACAUUUUCAAAACCCUAACAGUAGCCAUCCUACCCCAUUAUAAUAAACAUUAGUACAAAUUAGCAUUAGAAAAACCAAAAAACAGAGAACAAUGCCCUUAAGCAGUGUUCAUAAAACAUAGAAUUAAACAAAAUUCCAUCAUUAAUAGUCAACAAAGCAAUGAACUUUAAACAACCAAAAACAAUCAUGCUCAAUUUUCAAAACAUCAACAUUACUCCCCAAAACAAAAAAACCCAACUUCAGAAAUCAUCAAACCCACUUGAAUUCCCACCAAAAUCAACCAACACAGCAUUCCAUAACAAUCACACACACAGAUCAAUAAAAAAAAUGCCAUUUUUAACAAUCCAAGUAGCAAAGAGAACUUACAAAGAAGAAGAAUGAACAGAAACAACAUUUUCAGCUUCUUUAUACCCUCAAAUUCAGUAGUAGAAAAGGUAAAGCAUUCAAAGAAAGAAUGAAAAGGUAAAUGUAUGCAUUUGAAGAAGAAAAACUAGCAUAAUAGUAUCAUCAGAUCACUUUUGAAGAAGGUUCAAAAGUGAGUGAGUGGGGACUAUUGCAGUAAUAGCUGUAUGUAGAGAGAGAGGGUCCCACUGAUCGAGCAUUAACAAUGAGCGUAACUACCACAUUUACACUCAUCAAAUGCACUUCACAUUCUUUCACUACUUUUUUGACAAUACAAGCUAGUUUCACACGAGUCACGCGUGUGAGAGACAGCAAUACUAUAAAAAAAAGACAUGUUUGUGCGUGUUGAAAAGGUUUGUGUUUUGUGUUGUUGGCGCUAACUCAUUUGGCAGUUGGUUAGAUGGAGACAUUUAUUACUAUGGUCAGUUUUUUGGAUAUGUUUUUAUUUUGGAAGUUCAAUAGAGGUGUUACUCCUACCAGUUUGGUUUAUUUAUCACACUCAUGCAUUUAAUUCAAGAGAAGAGGUAGGAGUAUUUUUUUUGGUUAAUAUUAACCUAUUUUAAGUAUGGUGAAAUAUAUUUUAUACAAACCUUGUUUAUCACUUCCCAUUAAUAUAUUGUUGUUUGUUUUUGUUGAAAGAAUGACUACUACUAGUACAUUUUUGUUGCUUAAAGGGUUCUAUGUACAAUUAGGUUUACCUAUAUACAUUCAUGUGUUUUUUAACCUUAACAAACUUGUGAAAGAAGGAUAAGUUUUUUUUGUCAUCAGAUGCACAUUAUGUUUGAAAAUAGUCAAUUUAAAAUCCAUAUUUUCUUUGUUAUACCCAAUAUUUAAUCAUAAUACAUUGGAAAAUUGAACAAAAAAAUAUAAAAUUAGAUUGCAUGGCCUUAGUAUUAUCCCAAGUUUUCUCUCCCAUAAUCAUAGUGUCGUCAACAAAAUGCAAACAAGAAAUAUGCAACUUCAAUGAAGAGUCAACCUUGUGCUCGAUAGACAGCUCAGCCUCAACUGAAACAUUCAACAUAACAUUCAUACCUUCAAAACACCGAUAAAAAACAAAAACAAUAAGAAAUGAUCGUCUUGCUGCAACCUCAUCUCAAUUUAAAUUCAUCGGUUAGAUUACCAUUUACUAAUACCGAAAUUGAUGCCGAAGUAACAUACAUCAUAGUCCAUCUUCUCCAUAAGACUACGAAAUUCAUUUUGGACAUGACCACAUCCAAGUACUCCCACUCAAUAAUAUUUUCAUCCAAUAUUUGCCUCCCUUUAACGAUCGACAAUCAACUUCAAUCUGGUUGCUACAACUUUCGACAACACUUUGUGCAUAUGCCAGACUAGUGAUAUUAGCCUAAAAUCAUACAAUCGUUAAGGACUAACAACUUUCAUAAUCAUAUGCAAUUAGUUAAAACCUUAAAACUACCUGGAUCUAGUAUAUCAAAUAUCUCAACAACCUUUUACCAUCUCUAUUGUACUUGGUUAUUCUUAUCAUAUGCAUGUGUUUAUUUCCCAUUUAUUUAUUGCAGGAAUUGAGGAGGAAUGUGGAACAUUUUAGCGUCUGAAUGUGGGUCCCAAAAAUUCGGUUUCCCUCCAAAACCUUACAGAAUUAACAAUCAUGCGAUACGCAAGAAAUUGAAAAUUGUUUUCUCCACUUCUAUAAUAAGAUGUCUACCUCACUUACUUAAGAUGAGAAUCAAAGAAUGCAAAGAGUUAAAGAAUAUUAUUGAAUUAGAUGAUUUGGAGGAUAAAAAAUCCUCAAAAACAUGCUUUCCAAAGCUAGGAACUCUUGUUGUAGUAAAGUGCAUCAAGUUGAACCAUGUCUUUCCAAUCUCCAUAUGUAAAGAGCUUCCUGAGCUAAAUUAUCUGAUCAUAAGAGAAGCAUAUGAGCUAGAGGAAAUAUUUGUAAGUGAAGGUGAUGAUCACAAAGUGGAGAUUCCAAAUCUGAAAGUUGUAAUAUUUGAAAAUCUACCAAAACUAUCCCUGGCUUCAGCAUCAACAGCAGACUUCAUAUUUGAUAUUAAUGGUUUAUAUGCUAGCAAGUUUGGCUACGGUACACACUCUAUACAAUAUUUUUAAAAACUAUUACACGUUGGCUGUAAAUAAUUACAUAUUAUUGCACAUCUUUGAACUUGAAAAUGAUGAUUUACCGUUGAAAGUGAACGUUUUGAUAUUAUUAUUAUUAUUAUGAGAUUCUGUAUAUUGAUGUUAUUAAUCGCUAUAGAUUAUGAAUUCUUCCAGAAUGUGACGAAGCUAUUCAAGCAAUUACAUGAUGAGUCCAAAGGCCUUUGAUACUAGUAAUGAAUAUCCAAGUUCAGAAAUCACCGAAGUUCAAGCAUCCGGACACGAGUUUACUUCUUCACGGGUCAAUACUAUUCUAUUUAUUCAAGUUAACCACAUAUGAAUACAAUCACCAAUACAAUGUAUUUGAAACAAACAUUUUAUUUUUGAUGCAGAAAGAAAUGGAACAAACACUAGAGACAGAGCAUGAAUUUGUUGAAAUUGUUCCUCAACAAGAGAUGCCAUCAGUAGCAACAAUAUUACCAACAAAUUCAAAAGUAAUUUGAAGGCCAUGUGAAAAUCACUUGGAUAUUCCUCUCCAAAUAUAUACAUAUUUCUUGUAUUCUUUUUUACACUUUGUCAGUACCGGAAUUGAAUUAUACCACAAUAUUGACAGGUUAGCGAAAUAAGUGUUGAAGAAGGUGACAACCAAAGAGCUAUAGCUUCUACUUCAAUCGCCAUAACAAAGCCUCUAACCACUCAAGAUGUUGAUGUUGAAAUCUGGCAGGAAACUAGUAACACUAAUGACGAUCGAGGUGAAGAAUCUUUGGAUCGGUUUUCUUUUCUUAAGUUAUCUCAUCGCCCUUUUCAUUUUGAAGUUAACCUUCUUCUUUCCCACCUUUUCUCAGUUUCUCUAAAUGAUGACGAUGUCAUGAAAGUAAGAUCAAAUAUUGAGCAACAGUUUCCCAAGGAAGAUGAAAUAUUAGUUUCCAAAUCAAGACCCUCUUCUAUUGAAUCUCAGUGUCCUUCAAAGUCUACUCAAGGUAUUUUAUUGCAUCAUUUUUUUAAAAUUAAUUUUCUAGUGCUCAAAUAUGCAUAAACAUUAUUUCAUGUACUCUCAGGGGAACCUUCUCAAAGAGAUGAAGAUUUAAGUUCUUCUUGCAUUGUCACAAGGGAGCUUGAGAAUCUAGUUUCCAAGAAUCAUUUAGCUAUUGAGAAAUUGUCUCUGUUGACUGAUUUCCUUGUUAAGCAUCCUUCAUUUCUUCUAAGGCACACUUCAUUGAGUAGCCGAUACAAGGGUUGGUUAUGCCUACAACUGUCUAGCCGAGCUAUUGAAAUUCCUUCAAACUCAUAGUGUGUUGGAUGUGUUAGGUUCAAGCCUCUCUGAAUUUAUCGAGUUAUUACAAGAUGUACACAGUUUUCCUUUUGAUAAGGAAUGGUUGGAUGAUAUCGAAAAGCGUGCUUUGUUUCAUGGUUCGCAAGUCUCUCAAGAUGCAUUGCAAAAAUUGUUGGACUCAAAACACAUCUUGACACAACGUGUGGAAGUAUCUUAAGCAUCAAUUGGCUUCCUCUGAAGCUGAUUUGCAGAGCAUCACUCAACAGGAGGCACAAAUUUUACGAACACGGGAUGCUUUAAGUGAUCCUCUUAGUUAUUAGACUAUUUUUUUCGUUGCAUUCAAUUUGUUCCCUGCUUUUCUUUAUCCUUCAAUAUUUUAUUUAUUGCUCGGACAUACGUUCCUCAUUAAUAAAUUCAUUUAGCUGUUCAAAACAAUUGACAAGUUAUAAAUACAAAGUUUUAGCGAUAAUUAAUCUAAGUAAGAGAACCUAUGAAGCACACAAUGUGUCUUGUCUGCUCCCUAUCGAAUUUUCUCCAUACGAAGGUGGCAGAGUUCAAACCUAUUACCACAUGCUUAAAAGAUUUACACCCCUUACCACUUUGACAAAAUAUUGUUGGUAACUUAACCUAAAUUUUAACCUAUAUACAAUCAUAAAAAUAUAGAAAUAACACAUUCUCAACCUCUAUAUAUAUCUUACAAAAAAAAAACAAUACAAGCUGAAAACAUGGGAAAAAAAUAAAUAAAAUAAUUGUUGAGUAUAGCUUAGUUCUGAUUUUGUACAAGUACAAACUUCCUAAACUUUUCUCAACCAACUUCUACUAUACACACCCCACCACCACCAAUUUUGAACCUAAUUAAUUAAGCUCAGGAAUACUUUGUAAAACAGGCUUCCAUAGCCUAUGAUGGACAUCAUGGUUGACAUGAUCUCUAGCAUUUAGCAAACCAACCAAAACAUGUUCAGCAGAAGCAUGUUUUGUGCUUCCAACACCCUGUUUCUCUGAUUCUCCCAACAAUACCGCAAGUUCUUUCUUUGAUAUCUUUAUUUUCACCUUACCAUUAGCAUCAGAAGAAGCUCUUAGUGCACCUAAAAGCUUCUCUUUCUCUAUGUUCCCCAAACUCAAACCAUGAACUUCAUCAAAAACUUUGCUUGAAUUCAUCCUACUCUUAUGGUUUGAUGUCAGUGAUCCCCAAUCUUCUCCGGCCCACUCCAUCGAAGAUGAUGUGCAACAAUUUCCCAUAUAUAUUUGUCUUUUGGUGUGCGCGGAUUUUCUCCAACAAUGGUCUAGCCAAUUUACGCACUAGCUAAUUUUUUUGAACAAACCAACGAAGCAAAAAAAAAAAAACUAUAAUCGUCGAAGAAACCUAAUAGCUGCAGAAUCAGUCAUCAGGAGGGACAAACAAAAAAGUAGGAACAAUAUCAAAAAAUUCUAUGUGUGUAAGAAGAUGAAGAUACAUAUGUUAAUGUUGAAGUGUUUGUACAAAUGGAAUGACGUGAGAGAAUUAUAGGGGUGGGAAGUUUUUGAUAUUUAUAAGGGUGAUGCAAUGUGAUUAGGAUAUACUAAUAGAGAAAAUUGACUUUUGGAAUAUUGAAUUUAACAAUUGCAUUAAAUAGUAACCCAUGUGGCAGCUAGAUCUGGUCACUAGUAUAAUUGUAUAUGUGUAAGAUAAGGGUUGGCUUAAUUUCAUUGACCAAAUUAAUCUAUAGUAUCUUAAUUUAUUGGGUUAUUACAUGUAUGACGUGUAGGACCCAUGAUAAACAUGGUGCUUGAAUUGAUCCCUUUUCCAUUAUUUGUUAGUGUGUGAAAUGUGAGAUGGAAUAGCAUCUUUGGAAAUGGCAAGUACAAGUGAGUGUGAACAUGAUUUUGGCAUUGGAAUCUUGGACUUGAUCGAGGGAUAUAUAUUUUGCUUGCUAAUUCCAUUUAUUUACCUUCACGUGUGGGCUUGGUAUAUUUACUUUGCGUAAUCUUGUGUGACUUGGCUCUUUUCAUAAUUAAAAAAAUUACUUUACGUAAUCUUUUAUCCAUCUAGAGUCUUAGACUAUAUACAUUGAUGUUUUGUUAGUUGCCCUCUACCACACCUUUUACACUGUUACAUUCAUAAAUUAACAUGUUAAAUUUUGUAUUGUAAUGCAAAUGAAAGUUAUUUUGACGUGAAAACAUCCUUGGUAGUAGGGGAUCCAACUCUUCUUUUUUCAUAAAAAAAUCUUGUGUCUUAAGAUUUCUUCACGUAUAACUUAGGUCAUUUGAGCUCGUAAGGAUAUAAGGUUGGUUUGGUGGAAGACAAAUUACUAACAAAUUAACAUAGUAACAUUGG
rnacentral:lncRNA from 1 species